rnacentral:rRNA from 1 species
AACGAACGCUGGCGGCGUGCCUAACACAUGCAAGUCGAACGAGAAAGUUUCCUUCGGGAAAUGAGUAGAGUGGCGCACGGGUGAGUAACACGUGGAUAAUCUGCCUGAUAAUCUGGGAUAACAUUUCGAAAGAAGUGCUAAUACCGGAUAAGCCCACAGUAUCUUCGGGUACAGCGGGAAAAGAUGGCCUCUUCUUGAAAGCUAUUGUUAUCAGAUGAGUCCGCGGUCCAUUAGCUAGUUGGUGGGGUAAUGGCCCACCAAGGCGACGAUGGAUAGCUGGUUUGAGAGAAUGAUCAGCCACACUGGAACUGAGACAC